AUUGAACGCUAGCGGCAUGCUUUACACAUGCAAGUCGAACGGAGUGGCGGACGGGUGAGUAAUAUCUCGGAACGUGCCUAGUGGAGGGGGAUAACUACUCGAAACUGUAGCUAAUACCGCAUACUAUUGGAGCGGCCCAGAUGGGAUUAGCUAGUUGGUGGGGUAAAGGCUCACCAAGGCAACGAUCCCUAGCUGGUCUGAGAGGACGACCAGCCACACGGGAACUGAGACACGGCCCAGACUCCUACGGGAGGCAGCAGUGGGGAAUUUUGGACAAUGGGGGAAACCCUGAUGCAGCCAUCCCGCGUGUAUGAAGAAGGCCUUCGGGUUGUAAAGUACUUUUGGCAGAGAGGCGGUAUCUGCAGAAUAAGCACCGGCUAACUACGUGCCAGCAGCCGCGGUAAUAC
rnacentral:rRNA from 1 species